rnacentral:rRNA from 1 species
AUUGAACGCUGGCGGCAGGCUUAACACAUGCAAGUCGAGCGGGGGAAGGUAGCUUGCUACCGGACCUAGCGGCGGACGGGUGAGUAAUGCUUAGGAAUCUGCCUAUUAGUGGGGGACAACAUCUCGAAAGGGAUGCUAAUACCGCAUACGUCCUACGGGAGAAAGCAGGGGAUCUUCGGACCUUGCGCUAAUAGAUGAGCCUAAGUCAGAUUAGCUAGUUGGUGGGGUAAAGGCCUACCAAGGCGACGAUCUGUAGCGGGUCUGAGAGGAUGAUCCGCCACACUGGGACUGAGACACGGCCCAGACUCCUACGGGAGGCAGCAGUGGGGAAUAUUGGACAAUGGGGGGAGCCCCGAUCCAGCCAUGCCGCGUGUGUGAAGAAGGCCUUAUGGUUGUAAAGCACUUUAAGCGAGGAGGAGGCUACUUUAGUUAAUACCUAGAGAUAGUGGACGUUACUCGCAGAAUAAGCACCGGCUAACUCUGUGCCAGCCGCCGCCGUAA